UACAGGGGGUGCAAACGUUGCUCGGAAUUAUUGGGCGUAAAGCGCGCGUAGGCGGCUACUUAAGUCGGAUGUGAAAGCCCUUGGCUCAACUGAGGAAGUGCGUUGAAAACUGGAUCACUUGAGUCUCGGAGAGGUGGGUAGAAUUCUCGGUGUAGAGGUGAAAUUCGUAGAUAUCGAGAGGAAUACCGGCGGCGAAGGCGGCCCACUGGACGAAGACUGACGCUGAGACACGAAAGCGUGGGGAGCAAACAGG
rnacentral:rRNA from 1 species